rnacentral:rRNA from 1 species
AUACGUAGGGGGCGAGCGUUGUCCGGAAUGAUUGGGCGUAAAGGGCGCGUAGGCGGCCGCUUAAGUCUGGAGUGAAAGUCCUGUUUUCAAGAUGGGAAUUGCUUUGGAUACUGGGGGGCUUGAGUGCAGGAGAGGUUAUCGGAAUUCCCGGUGUAGCGGUGAAAUGCGUAGAGAUCGGGAGGAACACCAGUGGCGAAGGCGGGUAACUGGACUGCAACUGACGCUGAGGCGCGAAAGUGUGGGGAGCAAACAGGAUUAGAUACCCUGGUAGUCCACACUGUAAACGAUGAAUGCUAGGUGUAAGAGGUAUCGACCCCUUUUGUGCCGGAGUCAACACAAUAAGCAUUCCGCCUGGGGAGUACGGCCGCAAGGUUGAAACUCAAAUGA